rnacentral:rRNA from 1 species
ACACCCAUGUCUUUUGCGCACUUGUUGUUUCCUGGGCGGGUUCGCCCGCCACCAGGACCAAACCAUAAACCUUUUUUUUAUGCAGUUGCAAUCAGCGUCAGUAUAAACAAUGUAAUUAUUACAACUUUCAACAACGGAUCUCUUGGUUCUGGCAUCGAUGAAGAACGCAGCGAAAUGCGAUACGUAGUGUGAAUUGCAGAAUUCAGUGAAUCAUCGAAUCUUUGAACGCACAUUGCGCCCUUUGGUAUUCCAAAGGGCAUGCCUGUUCGAGCGUCAUUUGUACCCUCAAGCUUUGCUUGGUGUUGGGCGUUUUUGUCUCCCUCUUUGCUGGGAGACUCGCCUUAAAACGAUUGGCAGCCGGCCUACUGGUUUCGGAGCGCAGCACAUAUUUUGCACUCUGUAUCAGGAGAAAAGGACGGUAAUCCAUCAAGACUCUUACGAUUUUUAACUUUUGACCUCGGAUCAGGUAGGGAUACCCGCUGAACUUAAGCAUAUCAA